rnacentral:rRNA from 1 species
UGGGGAAUAUUGCACAAUGGGCGCAAGCCUGAUGCAGCCAUGCCGCGUGUGUGAAGAAGGCCUUCGGGUUGUAAAGCACUUUCAGCGAGGAGGAAGGUGGUGAGCUUAAUACGCUCAUCAAUUGACGUUACUCGCAGAAGAAGCACCGGCUAACUCCGUGCCAGCAGCCGCGGUAAUACGGAGGGUGCAAGCGUUAAUCGGAAUUACUGGGCGUAAAGCGCACGCAGGCGGUUUGUUAAGUCAGAUGUGAAAUCCCCGGGCUCAACCUGGGAACUGCAUUUGAAACUGGCAAGCUAGAGUCUCGUAGAGGGGGGUAGAAUUCCAGGUGUAGCGGUGAAAUGCGUAGAGAUCUGGAGGAAUACCGGUGGCGAAGGCGGCCCCCCUGGACGAAGACUGACGCUCAGGUGCGAAAGCGUGGGGCAGCAAACAGGAUUAGAUACCCUGGUAGUCCAGCGCUGUAAACGAUGUCGAUUUGGAGGUUGUGCCCUUGAGGCGUGGCUUCCGGAGCUAACGCG